rnacentral:rRNA from 1 species
AUGGCGGGAAACUCGGUGAAUCUGCCUCAUGCAACUAGAAGAAGAAGUACUUUGGCUUUCAAGUUCCUGAUACCCUUCGUUCUAGUUCUUUCAGUUUCUGUUAUUGCUGUCACCCAGUACUUCCAAAGUAUCUCCUACUUUCUGCGGCCGCUGUGGGACACACCACCAAAGCCCUUCUCCCGUAUCCCGCACUACUAUGCCCCUAACAUGUCCAUGGACCAGCUGUGUCAGCUCCAUGGCUGGGGCAUUCUCUCCUUCCCUCGCCGUGUCUUUGAUGCUGUUCUCUUCAGCAAUGAGCUCGAUAUUCUGGAAAUCCGCUACCAUGAGCUCUUUCCGUAUGUUGACAGGUUUGUCAUCCUUGAAGCGAAUGCUACCUUCACUGGCAUCCCAAAGUCACUCACCUUCUUUGAAAACCUCAACCGUUUCGCAUUUGCUAGCUCAAAGAUUGUCUAUGACAUGCUUCCCAUUGGAGAUUUGGAUCCUGAUUCUCGCCGAAUGCCCUUCCUUGUAGAAGCCGGUCACCGCCGUGCACUUAACAACCUGCUAAAAAGAUCAGGCAUUGCUGUGGGGGAUGUCUUGAUCAUGGCUGAUGCCGAUGAGAUCCCCAGUCCUGAAACCGUGCAGUUGCUGAAGUGGUGUGAUGGAAUACCGCCAAUCAUGCAUCUCGAGCUAAAAAACUAUAUGUACUCCUUUGAAUUUCAUGUGGAUCAAAACAGCUGGAGAACGACAGCGCAUGUGUUCACCGAGCGGACCAAGUAUCAACACUCCCGCCAGACCGACCUGAUGCUGGCCGACGCGGGCUGGCACUGCAGCUUCUGCUUCAGGGAGAUCAAGGAGUUUGCUUUCAAGAUGAAGGCAUACAGCCAUGCAGACCGGGUGAAACAUGACAUCUUCCUGAACCCUGACAGGAUCCAGAGAGUCAUAUGCAAUGGGGAUAACAUUUUUGACAUGCUACCUGAGGAGUACACGUUUAGUGAUCUCUUCAAGAAGAUGGGGCGGAUACCGAGGUCAGCGUCCGCUGUUCAUCUUCCAUCCUAUUUGAUCAGGAACGCGGACAGCUACAGGUUCUUACUUCCUGGUGGGUGCUUGAGACCGGGCUAA